AACGAACGCUGGCGGCAUGCCUAACACAUGCAAGUCGAACGAAACCUUCGAGUCUAGUCGCGCACGCGUUCGUAACGCGUGGGAACCUGCCCUUAGGUUCGCAAUAACUCCCCGAAAGAGGUGCUAAUACCGGAUAAUUUCUUCGAACCAAAGAUUGAUCGCCUUUGGAUGUGCCCGCGUUGGAUUAGCUCGUUGGUAGGGUAAAAGCCUACCAAGGCGACGAUACAUAGCUGGUCUGAGAGGAUGAUCAGACACACUGGGACUGAGAAACGGCCCAGAAUACUACGGGAGGCAGCAGUGGGGAAUACUGCAAAACGGGGGAAAGCAUGAACGAGUAAUGCCGCGUGAGCGAUGAAGGUUUUAGGGUUGGAAAGCUAUUUUAUACGGGAUGAUAAUGACAGUACCGGGAGAAUAAGCUCCGGCUAACUUCGUG
rnacentral:rRNA from 1 species